rnacentral:rRNA from 1 species
GACGAACGCUGGCGGCGUGCUUAACACAUGCAAGUCGAACGGAAAGGCCCUGCUUUUGUGGGGUGCUCGAGUGGCGAACGGGUGAGUAACACGUAAGUAACCUGCCCUUGACUUUGGGAUAACUUCAGGAAACUGGGGCUAAUACCGGAUAGGAGCUCCUGCCGCAUGGUGGGGGUUGGAAAGUUUCGGCGGUUGGGGAUGGACUCGCGGCUUAUCAGCUUGUUGGUGGGGUAGUGGCUUACCAAGGCUUUGACGGGUAGCCGGCCUGAGAGGGUGACCGGCCACAUUGGGACUGAGAUACGGCCCAGACUCCUACGGGAGGCAGCAGUGGGGAAUAUUGCACAAUGGGCGGAAGUCUGAUGCAGCAACGCCGCGUGCGGGAUGACGGCCUUCGGGUUGUAAACCGCUUUCGCCUGUGACGAAGCGUGAGUGACGGUAAUGGGUAAAGAAGCACCGGCUAACUACGUG